UCACCUAGACAUACAGUUGUAAGGUUUGAAAUUGAGAAUUACAAGUCCUCUCACAUUGUUCUUCUUUUUCAAGUACGUUUUGGUUACUGAGACCUCGAAUUCCCAUAUGAAUUGUAGCAGCAGCUAGUCAGUUUCUGCAGAGGAGCCCGCAGGGAUUGUGAUCGAGACCACGUUGAAUAUACGGAUCUUUCUGGGGAGCACUGCCAUUCCAAGAGCGCUGUCUUCUGAUCCAGCAAUGUGAUAAUGCUCUGGUUGCUGAAUGUGCCCUUUCCCCAGACUUGGUUUUGGAGUUAAGUCACCAUCAGUGGAGCCCUCUCUUUAAAAGAUGAAGAAAACAUUUGCUCCUUCUCCCUGGUUGGGGACUUGGAUGAGAUGAGGUGCCCUCACCUCCAGUAGCAUCCAUCCAGACACCGGAACUGACACUGGCCGUGCUCAGAACUGCCUCAGCCCUGAAGACACAACUGACAAAUAGAAGGGGGCCACGCCCUGUUACAGCAGGUGCUCUCACUUUGUGGAUCCUUAUGUAACUGAGCGGUGUUAAUCAGGAUUGCCCGUUCUACAUUGUGUGGCGCUGCUGCGGUGUCUGCUAGUUACUUGUUAC